GAUGAACGCUAGCGGGAGGCCUAACACAUGCAAGCCGAGCGGUAUUGUUUCUUCGGAAAUGAGAGAGCGGCGUACGGGUGCGUAACACGUGUGCAACCUGCCUUUAUCUGGGGGAUAGCCUUUCGAAAGGAAGAUUAAUACUCCAUAAUAUAUUGAACGGCAUCGUUUAAUAUUGAAAGCUCCGGCGGAUAGAGAUGGGCACGCGCAAGAUUAGCUAGUUGGUGAGGUAACGGCUCACCAAGGCGAUGAUCUUUAGGGGGCCUGAGAGGGUGAUCCCCCACACUGGUACUGAGACACGGAUCAGACUCCUACGGGAGGCAGCAGUGAGGAAUAUCGGUCAAUGGGUGCAAGCCUGAACCAGCCAUCCCGCGUGAAGGACGACUGCCCUAUGGGUUGUAAACUUCUUUUGUAUAGGGAUAAACCUACCCUCGUGAGGGUAGCUGAAGGUACUAUACGAAUAAGCACCGGCUAACUCCGUGCCAGCAGCCGCAGUAA
rnacentral:rRNA from 1 species